rnacentral:sRNA from 2 species
AAUUAGCCCUGAUUGAAACGUUAUCCUUUUUUGUAGAUGGAAAUUUUCUUUAUACAUAAUUCUACAAAAAAGAUAAAAGUGCAAAGCAGGACUACCG